rnacentral:lncRNA from 1 species
UUUGCAGAGGCUUGGGAGGGAGUGGACGUGUCCCUGAUGCUAAGGGCAGAGGAGGAGCGGGGCCCUCGGGCAGCUGGAAGGGCAUCCUGAAAAGACGCCUGCCUGCCGCCGUUCUCCUGGCAGCAGGGCGCGCUGGGAAGCACCAGGCAGGAAGUGAAGAAUUUCCGGUUGUCAGCGGAGGGAUGGGGCGUCACCAAGUCUGUGGCAAGCACACCAAGAACCAGCUAAGUCCAAGGCUCACCUGCAUGGCAAAUGGUGAAGAGCCCAGCUCCCACUGAAGGCAUAUGACCCAGAUCCUGAGAACCAGAUGCACCGGCCUGAGCUUUCGUCAGAAGCAAGGACACACAGAACCUUUCUUAGAGGCAUCAUUAGAGGACCGGACAUGGUGGCCAGAGGCUGCAGGGACAGAAGUCCCAGGGCCAUGUCCAGGAACUGGGCUCAGGGGACCUCCUGGUGCCACCUGCAUAUCUGAGCCCAUGGAGUUCCUCUGGUCUAUUCAGUUCUCUCAUUUUAACUUAAUUUUGUUUUUGUAGGCUUUCUUAAAAAAUUGCCCAGUUCAUUUACCUGAUCACGUUUAUUGUUCAGAGUUGAGUGUGGUUCUCUCGUAAUUAUUUAGUCUCCACUGGGUCUGUGAUUAUAUUUCCUUUCUUAUUGCUAAUGCUGUUUGUGUUUGAUUUUCUUCUUUUUUUUCUUGGCCUGACUUAAAGAGGUUUGUCUGUUUUAUCUUUAUUUUAAAAAUAACCAACUGUUUAUUUUUACUUCUCCACUGUGAUUUCCCCCUUUAUUUCUUUAAUGUUUGAGUUUAUAUUUUUUCCUAUUUAUUUUGGCUUAAAUUUUAUUAUCAUUUUGCUAUAUCCUUGUGUCAAGCGCUUAAUUCAAUUAUUUUGUUAUUUUGACUUCUAAAAAAUCAGUUAAUUCUAUAAGUUUUCCUCUAUGUACUACAUUGAGCAAACUCCACAGAUUUCUGUAGGGGGCAUACUAAUUGUAAUUCAAUUUCGUUUUCCAUGUGUAGGUCCAGAUUUAUUUGAAUGUCCAAAUACUUAGAAUUGUAGGCUCUUGUUUUGUUAUUAAAGUCUGGUUUUAUUACAUUGUGUUUAGAGAAAAUAAUAUGGAGGAUUUUAAUUUUAGAUAAAGCAUUAAUAUCUUUUUUAUCCUCAAACAUGAUCAAUUUUUGACAGUGUUCCAAAAAUAUACUAUGAAAUAUAUAUUAUCUGUUGGAAUAGAGUAAUAUAUGUACACACUCUGCCAUGUGCAUAUGUUUAUAUAUCAUAUUUAGUCAAUGGUAGUUGUGUUAGCCAAGUCCUGGAGUCAUCUCGAUUCAAGUUUGUUGAGGCAGAAUUGUCAAUUUCGUCCUCAGCUCAGCUUCAACUACUUAACAGAACCUGAUUCAUAUAGGAAUUAAGUAAAUGUUUGUUGAAUGAAAUUCAGUGUCCCCAACCUUUUUGGCACCAGGGACUGGUUUUGUUGAAGACAGUUUUUCCAUGGAUGAUGGUAGGGGAUGGUUUCAGGAUGAUUCAAGUGCAUUACCUUUAUUGUGCACUCUAUUUCUAUUAUUAUUACACUGUAAUUAAUGAAAUGAUGGUAAAACUCACAAUAAUGUAGAAAUCAGUGGGAGCUCUGAGCUUGUUUUCCUACAACUAGAUGGUCCUCUCUGGGGGUGAUGGGAGACAGUGACAGAUCACCAGGCAUUACAUUCUCAUAAGGAGUGUGCAACCUAAUAUAGAUUCCUCGCAUGCACAGACCACAAUAGGGUUCGUGCUUCUAGGAGACUCUAAUGCCACCACUGAUCUGACAGGGGGUGGAGCUCAGGUGGUAAUGUGAGCCAGGAGGAGUGGCUGUAAAUACAGAUAACACUUCGCUCACUCACUUGCCAGUCACCUCCUUCUGUGUGGCCUGGUUCCUAAUGGGCCAUGGACUGGUACUGGUUCAUGUAGCUUUGCUAAAUUUUUCUGCAUUUAAAAUAUAUUUUAUUGAGAUAUUUCUGGAACUUUUGGGUGCCUAGAUUUGUGAUGUUAUACAGUGGUGCUCAUUUUAGGAAUAUUUAUUAAAUGCUUUUGGUGUGCUGGGCACUGUGCUAAGCACUAGAAAUACAAUGGCAGAUAAAAGAAUCUAGUGGCCUCCUGCACUUUAUGAUUCAUACAUUAUAGCUACAAAACAAACAAUAAACAAGCAGAUAAAUAAGUAUUAAUUUAAAAGAAUCCCGGUUGGUGCUAUGAAGGAAACAAAUGAGCAGCCUUUUCAAGGUAUGGA